GAAGGCAUCUAAGCGUGAAGCCCCCCUCAAGAUGAGAUAUCCCAUCGUAAGAGUAAGACCCCUGAGAUCCGAUCAGGUAGAUAGGGCAUAAGUGUAAGUGUGGUAACACACUCAGCGGAGUGUCACUAAUCGGUCGAGGGCUUGUUCUG
rnacentral:rRNA from 1 species